UACGUAGGGGGCAAGCGUUGUCCGGAAUCAUUGGGCGUAAAGAGCUCGUAGGUGGCGUGUCGCGUCUGCCGUGAAAGCCCAUGGCUUAACUGUGGGUCUGCGGUGGAUACGGGCAGGCUGGAGGCUGGUAGGGGCAAGCGGAAUUCCUGGUGUAGCGGUGAAAUGCGCAGAUAUCAGGAGGAACACCGGUGGCGAAGGCGGCUUGCUGGGCCAGUUCUGACGCUGAGGAGCGAAAGCGUGGGGAGCGAUCCGG
rnacentral:rRNA from 1 species